AACAAACAGAGGGAGGAGAGCCCAGCUUGCUCAUAAUGCUCUCUGCUGUUCCAGGGCCGGCCCCAGGGCUCACUGGGAGGGCUCAGGGCGACGCAGGGCUCCCUGGCGCCUGUCUGCAGGGAGGAAAGCCUUCCUCGGAAGGCGCCUUCUGACUGAAGGGCUUGGGGCCUCAGGGUUACCGGUUCUACUGGCAAGAUGUGGCCCCAGAAAGCUUCUGGCUUGUGAUACAGAAAUGGCCAAAAUACUUCCUUUCAAGCUUUCUGUGUACUGGAAACCCUCCUUGACUAAUUAGGACCCGCCUCUCUGAAAUUCCUGAAUCUGCGGCAUUAAUUAAACAGAGAGAAGCGUUUUCUCCCCAUAAAGCAGGAGAACUGGAAUAAUAUAGCGCAGGAAUUCAGGUGUAAUGGAUGGUACUCCAGUAGCCAUUUUGGACCAUGAGAUGACCUUUGGAAUGGAAGCUGCAUGUGGCAAAGCAAACUUCACAAGGAGCCUGGGUUUCUGUCACCAAACCAUCCCUGAACUGCUUAGCUCUGGACUUAUUACAAUAGAGAGACCUAAAUAUUUGCCCUACUUAAGCCACUGUUAUUUUGGGUUUUCUCUUCCUUUGGCCAAACUUAAUUCUAAAUAAUGUAGCAUCCACUGGGCACUUCACAUCCACUGUCUCACAGAACAUCUGCAACGCCUCUGUGAAGUUCCAGAACUGCUCGUCCCAUCCCCAGUCGUGCUCCACCCCAAUCCACUCUCUCAGGAAUGGCCUGAUUGAAUCUUCCCACAUAAAUCGCCUCACAGCACCUCUGCAUGGAAUCUUUCCAUGGUGUUUUGGUUAUCUAAUGCUAGAUAACAAAUCACCUCAAAACACUGGCUUAAGAAACAAUAAUUUCAGCUUCUGUUGGUCAGGAAUUCGGGAAGGAGUCAGACUGGCAGCUCUCACCUGGGGUCUCUCGAAUGGUUGCAGUCGGAAGUUGGCUGGGGCGGGCUGCCGUCACCUGGAGACCAGACAGGGCUCUCCAUCCAUAGAGCAUCCAUAGAGCGCCCCUCAGAUGGCUCGCCCACACACCCGGGGAAGCUGCUGGUAGCUGGGGGCGGGGACCUCAGCUCCUGCCCACGUGGCCUUCUCUGCAGGGCUGCUGAGUGUCCUCUGGGCAUGGAGGCUGGCUUCCCCCAGAGGGAGCAAUCGCAGGCAUGAGGUGGAAGCUGCGUUGCCUUGUAUGCCCUGGCCGUGGAAUCACACCCCAUCACUUCCACCCUGUUCUCGUGGUUGGGGAAGUUGCUCGUAUCUGGCUGGGGUCGAGGGGAG
rnacentral:lncRNA from 1 species